UUGUUGCUCUCAAUAAAAUCUUCAUUCUCCUUCAGGUCUCUGGCAGGACUCGUUAUGUAGGUCCUGAUGUUCUCAUCCAGGUACCAGCUAAAGUUCUCAUCUGACACCAUGAAGAGCAGAGCAUACAGGUAGUCUCCUGACCGGUCUCCAUAUAAAUCCACGGUUCCUACAGAGGAGAGGAGAGGGCAUUGCAAAGACCUGUGCAAAGGACUGAUGUACUGACAGACGACGAGGGGUCCGAUCAGUCCUGAGUUGAUGUCUUUUGGCGCGUUUACAUGGGAGUGGUAGAAGCGGGUCAUGCAGUUGGCAUCAUCUGACAUUGGGCCAUGGGUCUCUGGGAGCGUCCACUGAUAGACUUUUGUUGCACCUGGAGCCACCAAGUCGUCAGUCUUUUGUGCUGGACCAGUACCGUCUGGGUACAGAGCUCCUAAAGAGAUAUGCAGAAGCAAAAGGGCCGACAGACAGCGUUGACCAAACCGCUCCCCAGCUGCAUGAGACAUAUGAUGAACUCCAGCACAGCCAAACCCAUCAGCACACACAGCAGAGUCACGUUCCACUCCACAAUGUUGACUGGCUGAAGACACCGUGACCAAAGCUCUGGUUGUAAGAGGUACCUAGAGAAUAGAGAGAGUGAGGGAUCAGAAACAUUUACAGAGAGCCAUGCUGGGUUCAGACCAUAAACUGCAUAGAGAAGAGGGCACAGUCUAUUUGUUUCGAUAGAGAGGCCAAUGUGGAAAAACGUUAGACAGGCGUUUUUCUAAAGUCCAGCAGUUAUUGCAAAGAGAAGUCGCUUAGUUUUAUUAGUCAAUGUAUUACACCAGUAAACAA